rnacentral:rRNA from 1 species
GAUGAACGCUGGCGGCGUGCCUAAUACAUGCAAGUCGAGCGAAGCGGGGACGGGUGAGUAACACGUGGAUAACCUCCUAUAAGACUGGGAUAACUUCGGGAAACCGGAGCUAAACCGGAUACUUAUCGAUGGUUCCGCGCUGCAUUAGCUAGUUGGUAAGGUAACGGCUUACCAAGGCAACGAUGCAUAGCCGACCUGAGAGGGUGAUAGGCAAAACUGGAACGGAGAAAGGGUACAGAGUCCGAAGGGAGGAAGAAGUAGGGAAUAUUGCGAAAUGGGCGAAAGCCUGACGGAGCAACGCCGCGUGAGUGAUGAAGGUCUUCGGAUCGUAAAACUCUGUGAGUAGGGAAGCGGUACCUAAACAGAAAGCCACGGCUAACUACGUGCCAGCAGCCGCGGUAAUAC